UACGGGGGGGGCAAGCGUUGUUCGGAAUUACUGGGCGUAAAGGGCUCGUAGGCGGCCAACUAAGUCAUACGUGAAAUCCCUCGGCUUAACCGGGGAACUGCGUCUGAUACUGGAUGGCUUGAGUUUGGGAGAGGGAUGCGGAAUUCCAGGUGUAGCGGUGAAAUGCGUAGAUAUCUGGAGGAACACCGGUGGCGAAGGCGGCAUCCUGGACCGGCAUUGACGCUGAGGAGCGAAAGCCAGGGGAGCAAACGGG
rnacentral:rRNA from 1 species